UGGGGAAUCUUGGACAAUGGGGGCAACCCUGAUCCAGCGAUGCCGCGUAUGUGAAGAAGGCCUUCGGGUUGUAAAGCAUUUUAGUGGGGGAGGAGUAGGUAGCAUUGAAUAGGUGUUAUCGAGGACGUUACCCCAAGAAUAAGCACCGGCUAACUCUGUGCCAGCAGCCGCGGUAAUACAGAGGGUGCGAGCGUUAAUCGGAAUGAUUGGGCGUAAAGGGCGCGUAGGCGGAUAUAUAAGUGGUAUGUGAAAGACCUGGGCUUAACCUGGGGGUGUCAUAUCAGACUGUAUGUCUUGAGUGAGGUAGAGGAAGGUGGAAUUCCGGGUGUAGCGGUGAAAUGCGUAGAUAUCCGGAAGAACAUCGAUGGCGAAGGCAGCCUUCUGGGCCUUAACUGACGCU
rnacentral:rRNA from 1 species